rnacentral:rRNA from 1 species
UACGUAGGGGGCAAGCGUUAUCCGGAAUUACUGGGUGUAAAGGGAGCGUAGGCGGCAUGGUAAGUUAGAUGUGAAAGCCCGGGGCUUAACCCCGAGGAUUGCAUUUAAAACUAUCAAGCUAGAGUACAGGAGAGGAAAGCGGAAUUCCUAGUGUAGCGGUGAAAUGCGUAGAUAUUAGGAAGAACACCAGUGGCGAAGGCGGCUUUCUGGACUGAAACUGACGCUGAGGCUCGAAAGCGUGGGGAGCAAACAGG